rnacentral:rRNA from 1 species
GAUGAACGCUGGCGGCGUGCCUAAUACAUGCAAGUCGAGCGAACGGACGCUAAUCUUGCUUCUCUGAUGUUAGCGGCGGACGGGUGAGUAACACGUGGAUACCCCACCUAUAUGACUGGUAUAACUUCGGGAAACCGGAGCUAAUACCGGAUAAUAUUUUGAUCCGCAUGGUUCAAAAGAGAAAUACGGCCUUUCUGUCUCUUCUAGCUGCUUCCGGGCUGCAUUGGCUAGUUGGUAAGGUAACGGCUUACCAAGGCAACGAUGCCUGGCCGACCUGAGAGGGGGAUCGGCCACACUGGAACUGAGACACGGUCCAGACUCCUACGGGAGGCAGCAGUAGGGAAUCUUCCGCAAUGGGCGAAAGCCUGACGGAGCAACGCCGCGUGAGUGAUGAAGGUGUUCGGAUCGUAAAACUCUGUUAUGAGUGAAGAACAUAUGUGUAAGUAACUGUGCACAUCUUGACGGUACCUAAUCAGAAAGCAACGGCUAACUACGUG